AAGGCGCUUGAGAGAACUCGGGUGAAGGAACUAGGCAAAAUGGUGCCGUAACUUCGGGAGAAGGCACGCUGACACGUAGGUGAAGUGAUUUACUCAUGGAGCUGAAGUCAGUCGAAGAUACCAGCUGGCUGCAACUGUUUAUUAAAAACACAGCACUGUGCAAACACGAAAGUGGACGUAUACGGUGUGACGCCUGCCCGGUGCCGGAAGGUUAAUUGAUGGGGUCAGCGCAAGCGAAGCUCCUGAUCGAAGCCCCGGUAAACGGCGGCCGUAACUAUAACGGUCCUAAGGUAGCGAAAUUCCUUGUCGGGUAAGUUCCGACCUGCACGAAUGGCGUAAUGAUGGCCAGGCUGUCUCCACCCGAGACUCAGUGAAAUUGAACUCGCUGUGAAGAUGCAGUGUACCCGCGGCAAGACGGAAAGACCCCGUGAACCUUUACUAUAGCUUGACACUGAACAUUGAGCCUUGAUGUGUAGGAUAGGUGGGAGGCUUUGAAGCGUGGACGCCAGUCUGCGUGGAGCCGACCUUGAAAUACCACCCUUUAAUGUUUGAUGUUCUAACGUGGACCCGUGAUCCGGGUUGCGGACAGUGUCUGGUGGGUAGUUUGACUGGGGCGGUCUCCUCCUAAAGAGUAACGGAGGAGCACGAAGGUUGGCUAAUCCUGGUCGGACAUCAGGAGGUUAGUGCAAUGGCAUAAGCCAGCUUGACUGCGAGCGUGACGGCGCGAGCAGGUGCGAAAGCAGGUCAUAGUGAUCCGGUGGUUCUGAAUGGAAGGGCCAUCGCUCAACGGAUAAAAGGUACUCCGGGGAUAACAGGCUGAUACCGCCCAAGAGUUCAUAUCGACGGCGGUGUUUGGCACCUCGAUGUCGGCUCAUCACAUCCUGGGGCUGAAGUAGGUCCCAAGGGUAUGGCUGUUCGCCAUUUAAAGUGGUACGCGAGCUGGGUUUAGAACGUCGUGAGACAGUUCGGUCCCUAUCUGCCGUGGGCGCUGGAGAACUGAGGGGGGCUGCUCCUAGUACGAGAGGACCGGAGUGGACGCAUCACUGGUGUUCGGGUUGUCAUGCCAAUGGCACUGCCCGGUAGCUAAAUGCGGAAGAGAUAAGUGCUGAAAGCAUCUAAGCACGAAACUUGCCCCGAGAUGAGUUCUCCCUGAGACUUAGAGUCUCCUGAAGGAACGUUGAAGACGACGACGUUGAUAGGCCGGGUGUGUAAGCGCAGCGAUGCGUUGAGCUAACCGGUACUAAUGAACCGUGAGGCUUAACCUUACA
rnacentral:rRNA from 1 species